AAGGCAGCUUUCUGGAUCAUUACUGACACUGAGGAACGAAAGCAUGGGUAGCGAAGAGGAUUAGAUACCCUCGUAGUCCAUGCUGUAAACGAUGUGUGUUAGACGUUGGAAAUUUAUUUUCAGUGUCGCAGCGAAAGCGAUAAACACACCGCCUGGGGAGUACGACCGCAAGGUUAAAACUCAAAUGAAUUGACGGGGACCCGCACAAGUAGUGGAGCAUGUGGUUUAAUUCGAAGAUACGCGCAGAACCUUACCAACACUUGACAUGUUCGUCGCGACUUUAAGAGAUUAAAGUUUUCGGUUCGGCCGGACGAAACACAGGUGCUGCAUGGCUGUCGUCAGCUCGUGUCGUGAGAUGUUGGGUUAAGUCCCGCAACGAGCGCAACCCUCACUUUUAGUUGCCAUCAUUAAGUUGGGCACUCUGAAAGAACUGCCAGUGAUAAGCUGGAGGAAGGUGGGGAUGACGUCAAGUCCUCAUGGCCCUUACGUGUUGGGCUACACACGUGCUACAAUGGUAUCUACAACAGGAAGCGAAACAGCGAUGUUAAGCAAAUCCUUAAAAGAUACCUCAGUUCGGAUUGCACUCUGCAACUCGAGUGCAUGAAGCUGGAAUUACUAGUAAUCGUGGAUCAGCGUGCCACGGUGAAUGCGUUCCCGGGUCUUGUACACACCGCCCGUCACACCAUGGGAGUUGGUUCUACCUUAAGGCAAGGUUUAAUACCCUUGACCACGGUAUAGUCAGCGACUGGGGUGAAGUCGUAACAAGGUAGCCGUAGGGGAACCUGCGGCUG
rnacentral:rRNA from 1 species